UACAGAGGGUGCGAGCGUUAAUCGGAAUUACUGGGGGUAAAGCGCGCGUAGGCGGCUUGUUAAGUCAAAUGUGAAAUCCCCGAGCUUAACUUGGGCAUUGCAUUCGAUACUGGCAAGCUAGAGUAUGGGAGAGGAAGGUAGAAUUCCAGGUGUAGCGGUGAAAUGCGUAGAGAUCUGGAGGAAUACCGAUGGCGAAGGCAGCCUUCUGGCCUAAUACUGACGCUGAGGUGCGAAAGCAUGGGGAGCAAACAGG
rnacentral:rRNA from 1 species